rnacentral:rRNA from 1 species
AGGGCAAGUCUGGUGCCAGCAGCCGCGGUAAUUCCAGCUCCAAUAGCGUAUAUUAAAGUUGUUGCAGUUAAAAAGCUCGUAGUUGAAUUUCGGGGUUCUACCGUUGGUCGGGCUAUUGUCUGUACUGGCGUGUAGAAUUUCUACCUUCUGGAGAACUAUCAUGUUAUUAAUUUAGCGUGGUAGGAAACCAGGACCUUUACCUUGAAAAAAUUAGAGUGUUCAAAGCAGGCUUAUGUCUGAAUACAUUAGCAUGGAAUAAUAAAAUAGGACGGUGGUCCUGUUUUGUUGGUUUCUGAAUCACCGUAAUGAUUAAUAGGGAUAGUUGGGGGCAUUAGUAUUCAAUUGUCAGAGGUGAAAUUCUUGGAUUUAUUGAAGACUAACUACUGCGAAAGCAUUUGCCAAGGAUGUUUUCAUUAACCAAGAACGAAAGUUAGGGGAUCGAAGACGAUCAGAUACCGUCGUAGUCUUAACCAUAAACUAUGCCGACUAGGGAUCGGACGAUGUUAACUUUUCUUGACUCGUUCGGCGCCUUACGGGAA